UAGGGAAUCUUCCACAAUGGACGAAAGUCUGAUGGAGCAACGCCGCGUGAGUGAUGAAGGGUUUCGGCUCGUAAAACUCUGUUGUUGGAGAAGAACGGGUGUCAGAGUAACUGUUGACAUCGUGACGGUAUCCAACCAGAAAGCCACGGCUAACUACGUGCCAGCAGCCGCGGUAAUACGUAGGUGGCAAGCGUUGUCCGGAUUUAUUGGGCGUAAAGCGAGCGCAGGCGGUUUUUUAGGUCUGAUGUGAAAGCCUUCGGCUUAACCGGAGAAGUGCAUCGGAAACCGGGAGACUUGAGUGCAGAAGAGGACAGUGGAACUCCAUGUGUAGCGGUGAAAUGCGUAGAUAUAUGGAAGAACACCAGUGGCGAAGGCGGCUGUCUGGUCUGCAACUGACGCUGAGGCUCGAAAGCAUGGGUAGCGAACAGGAUUAGAUACCCUGGUAGUCCAUGCCGUAAACGAUGAGUGCUAAGUGUUGGAGG
rnacentral:rRNA from 1 species